AUUCAAAAGAGUAGGUAUGGAACUACCAUAUAACCUGGUUAUCCCACUCUUGGUAUCUUAGAUAAAGAACUAAAAUCUGCAUUUUAUAGUGAUACAUGUAUGGAUACCAAUAUUUUUAGCAGCACAAUUCAAUAGCCAGGUUAUGGAACCAGCCUGUGUGCUUCUCAACCAACAAAUGGAUAAAGUAAAUAUGAUACACACAAGCGGAAGUUUUACUCAGCCUUAAAGAAGAGUGAAAUUAUCAUUUGCUGAUACAUGGGUAGAACUGGAGAAUAUCAUGCUAAAUAAUAAACCAGACUCAGGAAGUCAGGGUGAAUGUUUUUUUCUCAUUUGCAGAAGCUCAAGAGAGAAAAUCAGGAAUAAACAAAAAGUGGGUAUCAUGAAAAAUAGCAGAGAAGACCAACAGAGUAAUGGAAGGGGGGAAUCACGAGGGAAGGAGGAGGAAGGGCAUGGGGAAGUACUGGGGAAUGCAAUCUAGCAAAUGAUGCUGUGUUCACGUACAGAUGUCACACACAGACACACACACGCACAUGUAUGUAUAACAUGUACUGGUUAAUAAUAACAGGGAGAUCAGUGGAGUAAGCGGAUCAGGGAGAGGGAGUCGGGGGGUGGGUAAAGGGAAGGUACAGGGAAAGCAGAUUGAGCCAAUUAUGUGCAUGAAUGAAUAUGACAUGAAUCCCACUCUUAUGUAUAAUCAUAAUGCAUGAAAAUAAGUAUUUAAAAAUUAAGGACUACUUGCCAUCCCAUCAAGUUUAUCCCAAGAAUGCAAGGUUAGUUUCACAUUCAAGAAUCUCCUAAUGUAAUGAACCAUGAAGCCACAAAACAUUUUUUAAAUACCAGAUCUUGUAUGUCUUCAUGAUGAUAAACACUCAAAAGUAAGAAAGGUAAGUU
rnacentral:lncRNA from 1 species